AAACAUGUCUUUUUGUGUUAAUUUUAAAGUCUGACCUGCCCACUGAAUUUUAAAUGGCCGCAGUAUCCUAACUGUGCAAAGGUAGCAUAAUCAUUAGUCUUUUAAUUGAAGGCUGGUAUGAAUGGUUGGACGAGGUAUAAGCUGUUUCAAUUAAAUUUAUUAUAGAAUUUUAUUUUUUAGUUAAAAAGCUAAAAUUUUGUUAAAAGACGAGAAGACCCUAUAAAUCUUUAUUUUUGUGAAAAUUUUAAUUAUAAAGAUACAUUUUGUUAUAAUUUUUACAAAAAUUUUAUUGGGGUGAUAUUAAAAUUUAAUAAACUUUUAAUUAUUAAAAGACAUUGAUUUAUGAAUAAUUGAUCCAUUAAUAAUGAUUAAAAAUUUAAGUUACUUUAGGGAUAACAGCGUAAUUUUUUUGGAGAGUUCAUAUCGAUAAAAAAGAUUGCGACCUCGAUGUUGGAUUAAGAAAAAUUUUAGGUGUAGCCGCUUAAAUGUUAAGUCUGUUCGACUUUUAAAUUCUUACA
rnacentral:rRNA from 1 species